GGAAGGAAAAAAAAACCCUAGUAAAUCAAAAUGAAACCAUGGAUGAUUCUUCUGCUUCAUCAUCAACAAUUACAACUUAUAUAUCAGCAUAAUGAUUUCUCCUCUCAAUAUUUUCACUUCUAUGAGAGAUUUUAACUUAGAGCUUUGCUGUAUUUUUUUAUUGAGGUGGAUCCUGAGGUGUCUUGAUGGUGGAUCUACCAAUCUAAUACUGCAGCAAAAUCGGUAUUCCAGGAUCUCUCCACAGCAUAUGAGCUUCUUCAAUUACUCUAUAAGUUUCGGAUUUCACAAGAAUCUCAUGAUCUAGCCGCUUUUGAAGCAUCAAUUGAUAUUGAUCAAAAGUUUCGGAUUUUACAAGUUGAAUUACAGAGAGGAAUCUUAUUGAAUCUCAAAAGUCUCUUGUCGCUAAUUUUAAUUUUGGGAGUAUUAAGUAUUUGGUUUAAUAAUUUGAUUAAUUAGGGUGUUCAUCUUGUCUUGAUUAGUUUUUAACUCUAGUUUACAGUUUGAUAUGUCAU